rnacentral:tRNA from 1 species
GAAGGUAUAGCUCAAGUGCUAGAGCGCAUCCUUAGCACACAUGAGGUCCUAGGUUCAAUCCCCAGUACCUCCA